CUAUGUUUAUCCUUGGAUUGUGAAAUUGGAUACAAUACAAGCUAUGGAUUUAGUAAGAUGCUGUGAUUGUGGAUGCGAUUGCUCUCUCAACGCUUCGUGGAUUCGAUCCGUCAAGAGAAAACACGAGGAGCUCGAGAACUACAUACCUGAGCUUGACUUGGACUCGUCUUCUUCCAACGCGAAAGUCCAAAUCGAGAACGAAUGCGAGCUCCUGCGCGAAACCGUCACCUCUCAGCAGGAAUCGAUUCAAGAGCUCUACGCCGAGCUCGACGAGGAGAGAAACGCGGCUUCCACGGCUGCGAACGAGGCGAUGUCUAUGAUACUGAAGCUGCAGAGGGACAAGGCUGAGAUUCAGAUGGAGCUGAGGCAGUUUAAGCGGUUUGCGGAGGAGAAGAUGGAGCAUGAUCAGCAGGAGCUUUUGGCUCUUGAGGAUUUGGUUUAUAAGAGGGAGCAGACUGUUCAGGCGCUUGUUUGUGAGGCUCAGGGUUAUAAGCAUAGGAUGAUGAGUUAUGGGGUUGAUGAGUCUGAGUUUGAUGGGGAGAGGAAUGAGUUUGAGUAUGACCUCCCUGCUUAUGAUUAUCCUCCUCUUAAGUGUAGUUUGAAUGAGAAUCCAGAUCUGGAGGCUGAUGUUGAGGAUGUUGAAAAGUACGCACUGACUGAUUCUUCACCUCAUGGUAGAGAAGAUUUGAAGAGUUUGGAACAGAGGAUAAGUCAGAUGGAGAGCUUUACUCCGCCUCAUGGUGAUGUAUCCGGAGGAGGGAGAACUUAUUUGGAGAAGGAGGUGGUUGGUCAGAGUCCUAGGCGUCAGAGACAUCUCAGGGGGGUCUCCACCGGUAGUUCAGGUUCACUAUUGGGAACAAGCAAGGAUCAAGGGCCUGGCUUGUAUGCAGAGGGUAAGGGUGACUUAUCAGAGACGGGAGAUAAUGAGAUGGAUGAUAGAGUCUAUACCAUUGAUUCUAUCCAUCACAGUGUAUCUCAGAGUGAUGUUUCUGAGCAGAAGUUUAAGGAUGAUGGCUAUGGAGAUAAAUUGAACCAGCCUGAUGAUCAUAGUGAUCCUGGGAUAACGAAGCUCUACGCGAGGCUUCAAGCACUGGAGGCUGACAGGGAAUCGAUGAGACAGGCGAUUGUGUCUAUGAGGACUGAGAAAGCUCAAAUGGUUCUUUUGAAAGAGAUUGCGCAACAUCUAUCGAAGGAUAUUAUUCCUGAACGGAGAUUGCCUCUGCAGAAAGCGUCUACUGUUGGAGCAUUCAGUUUCAUAUCUCUCUUUAAGGUGAUUUUUUUUCGUAUGCCAAUCAAUGUGUUGUUGUCUUUAAGAAGCAGGUUGUGCUAAUUAUAGUUUACUCCUUAGCUGAUUCUUGUGAUUGUUCCUUGUGCAGUGGAUUACAUCUUUUCUUUUCUGGAGAAAGAGGGCUCGUAGAAGCAAGUAAGCAACACACAGUCUUGAACUUUGAUUAGCUUUUUGCUUCACCUGAGUUUUGAGAUUUGAAGUUGUAUACUUAUGCAAGCAUCCUUGUGUUCAAAAUGGUUAAAUGCAGGUACAUGAACGGGAUGCAAGGGAGCACGAUGGGGUUGCAAAUGCUUCUAGAGAAGACUCCACGGAUACGGCAAUGGAGAUGUCUUUCAAGAACGCAAGUGUGAAACAACAUAUCACAUUCUCCAACUGGUGAAUCUGAAGGCUCUUAAUGUGAAUAUACUGGGAGUAACAUCACUCUCCCAUCAUCAUUCAUAUGGUUGCUGAGAAAAAAAAAAUGUUUUUCUCUGUGUGCAGUUUCUUUCUUUAUUUUGCAUUUGCCAUAUAUAUAUUUCAUUUGUUGUUUGGGGUUUGAAUGGGGUUUGAUUAUUGUCUAAAAGCUUGUUUUUUUUAUACAGUAAGCUGUGUAUAAUUUUCCCACAUUCUUGUUUGGGUUUUCUCUGGCAAAGAAUACAAAACUUCCGGUGAUCGGAACUUGGUGUUGUAUUGAAUGUACUCAAAAGUUAUCGAUCCUUUAAACGAAGCUACCAUCAAUCAAAGUUUAUUUCUGUUUUUGUUUUUCAAGGUCUAAUUGAUUAAUCAACAUCUAAUCAAUUUCGGUUUAACCGGUUCGACCCAAAGAGAUUGCCCAAUCGAAUUUUCUUAUUCCGGUUUAGUAGUCACUCGUUAAAACCCAAAACCCUCGCCGCAUAAGCUGAUUGAAGCUCCGUCACAAGAUGCCGAACUCGCUUCUAGCCUCCAGUCUCCGUAACCGGCGGCGCAGAUCCAAAUCCAAAAGACAAAAGCUCAUUCAGAAUCAACCUCCGUCUCAAGAGACGGCACUAACAGAGGAGGAAGAGGAAGAAGAAGAAGAUGAAGGAAACGGGUUCAAGCUCAAAACUUCAGCAAAGCACGGAGUCCAACCUCUCGGAAACCUCUACUUCGUCAACAAGGGCGCCGUCAACGUGCGAAACACUGGUCUAGGCAACCUCCAGGUCCUCACCGACGAGCUCGUUCUAGAAAUCCUAGCUCUCCUCGACGCGGCUCAUCUCGGCGUUUUAUCCACCGUCACCAAAUCCUUCUACGUAUUCGCUAACCACGAGCCUCUCUGGAGAAACCUCGUCUUGGAAGAGCUAAAAGGAGACUUUUUGUUCGCCGGGUCGUGGAAAGCCACCUACGUAGCGUCUCGUUAUCCAAAGUCGCAGCCUUUUGGAGGAGAUGGCGAAUCGGUUUUGAAGAUUAGAGAUUUCUAUUCUGAUUACCUCUUCCAGAGCUGGCUAUGCGCGAAUCUCGAGAUGAAGCGGGAGUGGCUUGAACGGGAUAACAUCUCCCGUGUGAGAGGCCUUUCCGUUGAGGAGUUUAUUACUAACUUCGAGGAGCCGAAUAAGCCUGUUCUGUUGGAAGGGUGUUUGGACGACUGGGGUGCGGUUAAGAAAUGGACUAAAGAGUAUCUGAGUGACGUGGCUGGUGACGUGGAGUUCGCUGUUGGUCCGGUUGAGAUGAAGCUCGAGAACUAUUUUAAGUACUCUGACGGAGUUAGCGAGGAGAGGCCGUUGUACUUGUUUGAUCCCAAGUUUGCUGAGAAAGUUCCCGUUUUGGACUCGGAGUAUGAGGCUCCUGUCUAUUUUAGGGAAGAUUUGUUUAGUGUUUUGGGAAACGAGCGGCCUGAUUAUAGAUGGAUUAUAAUCGGACCGUCCGGGUCUGGUUCUUCUUUCCAUAUUGAUCCUAACUCGACCUCUGCUUGGAACGCGGUGAUCACGGGUUCGAAGAAGUGGGUUUUGUUCCCGCCGGAUGUGGUUCCUCCGGGUGUGCAUCCGAGUCCUGAUGGAGCGGAGGUGGCGUGAAGAAGCAAAACUUGUAUUACGUUUGAUUCCGAAAAUAAAACAAACCAACUCUUGGAACAUUCCUUGUGCUCUAUCUUCUUGUACUUAUCUUUCCAUGUUUUAUAAAAACAUUCCUGCAUUUCUAGCACUUCGUGGCCAGCAAAGUUCAUCACACCCACAACAGAUAGCAAACUUGCAUUCUGGUUCUUGACAAACUUGACAUCACCAACACCUAUCACUCUCAUCAGCCAACCAUAUACAUGACAAGUCUCCAAUCUAUUCCACUUAGCUAGCUUAACGAAGACACCACCCGGUUCCCACACUCUAACACAAAGAGAUAAACCCGAGAGUCCCUUUCCCAUCAACACCUUUUGCAUUCUCCAAUGUUCGCAUGUGACCCUUGAUUAUUAUGGUCAAGUUGUGGCCUGAUUCCAGUCAACUCCUUUCUUUUGAACUUAAAUUUCCAUAUCUUUAGCAUUUUACUCACGAUUUUCUGAUGAUUCUCUCUUCUUCCUCUUAAACACAUUUGAUCAAACAGCUGGUGUGCAACUAAAUCAAUAGCCCCCACUGACUUUUGAGCCAACUUCUCCACCGAAUCCAUAUCUAAAAUGUAUGCUUGUUCAACCUUUGGAGCACUCCAAACACCAACGUCGUAUGAAUCAUUGACUAGAAGCUGUGAGCUACUGUUCUUAAGCAAAGCAGAAAGCAAUUCAUCAACCCUAUGGCUUGGUUCCGUAAGAGAGUUUAAUACCUGAAUCGAAUUUUUUCGGGUUUUAGAAGGGUUUAAGGGUUUCGAGAAAUGGGUAGAUAGAACGCCAUUGUUCAAUCAUCAGAGGAGGAGGAAGUAAAAAAGCUCGCCAGCUGUUACUAAGGACCAUCUCAAAAAACUUCUUAAUUAAGGACAAAUGACUUCUGUUUCUUUGUAAUUUCUGUAUUUUUCAUUUAUUUCUCAACCCAAUAUAGUUUAGGACUCUGUCUAAGGACACCAAUAAAGAUGGUCUAAGUAAUAUGUAUAUUCAUCUUUGUCUUGUUAUAAAAUCACAGUAAUCGAAAAGAUGAGAUAAUUUGGAAAACUCGUUUAAAAAUUACAAAUUUAGUAAUUGGUUAGUACAUGAGGCAGGCAAGAAGAUCAGCUGACCUGUACUUCCCGCAGGUAAAAAAUACACCCCAUCUAAACCAAGAUCUCAUCCGUCCAUCUCAACCAAAAGAAACCAAUCCUCGCCGUUGAUUCACCUUUCUUCCACUCGAAGUUACCAAAAAUAACCUUACUCGUCAUUGUCACGAGACUCCAUGGACGAACAAAAAAAAAACAUAACCUUUUAGGGCUUCAAAAAAAAAAAAAAUCCAGAGGGAAAAACAAAGACCAAUUCUCUCUCUCUCUCUCUAGUCUCUCCUUCUUCUCUUCCGUUUCCACGAUUCUGUUAGAGAUAGAGAGAGAAGAAGAGAUAUUAUUAUUAUUAUUAGCUCAAAAGAAUAGAAGAUAUUUUCCUGGGAAAUUUCAACUUUCUCCCGUUCCUGGUGAUUGAAAAGGUAAGUUUCUCCGCGGCGCUAUCGCUUUAGAUUGAGACGAAUUGACUUUUCUUUACAUGUGCCUUUGCAGAAUUCGAUUCAGCUGGUGAAAUCCCCAAAUUCAAUUUUCAAAUCUCUCUUAAGGAUUUGGUUCGAUUCUUACUAUGUUUAUCCUUGGAUUGUGAAAUUGGAUACAAUACAAGCUAUGGAUUUAGUAAGAUGCUGUGAUUGUGGAUGCGAUUGCUCUCUCAACGCUUCGUGGAUUCGAUCCGUCAAGAGAAAACACGAGGAGCUCGAGAACUACAUACCUGAGCUUGACUUGGACUCGUCUUCUUCCAACGCGAAAGUCCAAAUCGAGAACGAAUGCGAGCUCCUGCGCGAAACCGUCACCUCUCAGCAGGAAUCGAUUCAAGAGCUCUACGCCGAGCUCGACGAGGAGAGAAACGCGGCUUCCACGGCUGCGAACGAGGCGAUGUCUAUGAUACUGAAGCUGCAGAGGGACAAGGCUGAGAUUCAGAUGGAGCUGAGGCAGUUUAAG
rnacentral:lncRNA from 1 species